CCUACGGGUGGCAGCAGUGAGGAAUAUUGGUCAAUGGCCGGAAGGCUGAACCAGCCAUGCCGCGUGAAGGUCAGUGCCCUAUGGGCGUUAAACUUCUUUUGUGCGGGAGCAAUAAUGGUCACGUGUGGCCAGACGAGAGUACCGUACGAAUAAGCAUCGGCUAACUACGUGCCAGCAGCCGCGGUAAUACGUAGGUGGCGAGCGUUAUCCGGAAUGAUUGGGCGUAAAGGGUGCGUAGGCGGCCUGCUAAGUCUGGAGUGAAAGGUACCGGCUCAACCGGUACAGGCUCUGGAAACUGGCGGGUUAGAGAGCAGGAGAGGGCGGUGGAACUCCAUGUGUAGCGGUAAAAUGCGUAGAUAUAUGGAAGAACACCAGUGGCGAAGGCGGCCGCCUGGCCUGUUGACUGACGCUGAGGCACGAAAGCGUGGGGAGCAAAUAGGAUUAGAUACCCUAGUAGUC
rnacentral:rRNA from 1 species